UGGGGAAUUUUGGACAAUGGGCGCAAGCCUGAUCCAGCCAUGCCGCAUGCGGGAAGAAGGCCUUCGGGUUGUAAACCGCUUUUGUCAGGGAAGAAAUCUUCUGAGUUAAUACCUCGGGAGGAUGACGGUACCUGAAGAAUAAGCACCGGCUAACUACGUGCCAGCAGCCGCGGUAAUACGUAGGGUGCAAGCGUUAAUCGGAAUUACUGGGCGUAAAGCGUGCGCAGGCGGUUUUGUAAGACAGAGGUGAAAUCCCCGGGCUCAACCUGGGAACUGCCUUUGUGACUGCAAGGCUUGAGUGCGGCAGAGGGGGAUGGAAUUCCGCGUGUAGCAGUGAAAUGCGUAGAUAUGCGGAGGAACACCGAUGGCGAAGGCAAUCCCCUGGGCCUGCACUGACGCUCAUGCACGAAAGCGUGGGGAGCAAACAGGAUUAGAUACCCUGGUAGUCCACGCCCUAAACGAUGUCAACUGGUUGUUGGGAAGGUUCCUUCUCAGUAACGUAGCUAACGCGUGAAGUUGACCGCCUGGGGAGUACGGCCGCAAGGUUG
rnacentral:rRNA from 1 species